UUGGACGUAAACCACUAAAACCAAACAAGGUAAGAACAAAACAUAGCUUAAAAAAGAAAUACAAUAUUUUCCUUCAAGUAUCUGCAGUGCACAAUCGCGAACAUGUCAUGUCUUUUUCUGACUUUGCGUGCAAGAAUUCUGGAGCUUAAGUAGUUCCUCAGCCAAAACCUGUCCUACAUCUGCCUUUAGUAGUGCAUAACCCUGUAUAAAUGUGGUGUAAAGCUGCUGAGAAUCAUGUCCUACCUCAAGGAAUUCUGCUCCUGCAUCUAAGUCAGAAGUUUUAAGAUGUUUAGUAUAAUAUAGUUAUAUUAUAUGUAAAUGUGACAAUUUCUUGUUGCCUCACGUAAGCAUCAAGAAAGAUCCAGAUUUUGGUCUAACAGAAAUGUCUACACAUGUUUGAGAAAACACACUCCAGGUGGAUCUAAAAUCUAUACAUUCAGAAGGUAGCCAUUUCUUGAUUAAGCUUCAACAGUUUUUGGAUUCUAUUAAUUAACUUCUUUUGAUAAGCAACAACAGCCUUCACAAACUCCUGCGAAAUUAAAUUCAACAUACACUAAUAAUAAGAUGUUUAGUAUAAUAUAUUGAUAUUAUAUGUACAUGUGACAAUUUCUUGUUACCUGAUAAGCUUCUUAUAAGAUUUAAAGAGAUUUAAAGACAUGGUUUCAGUUCAGGUGGACAGUAAGGAAAGGACUGAUGAAUAAUCUUACCAAAUAUAUUAACACUNNNN
rnacentral:lncRNA from 1 species